rnacentral:rRNA from 1 species
CCUGGUUGAUCUUGCCAGUAGUCAUAUGCUUGUCUCAAAGAUUAAGCCAUGCAAGUGAAAGUAUAUAUAUAUUUUAUAUGUAGAAACUGCGAACGGCUCAUUAAAACAGUUAUAGUCUACUUGACAUUUUUAUUAUAAGGAUAACUACGGAAAAGCUGUAGCUAAUACUUGCUUUAUUAUCCUUUGAUUUUAUAUCUUAGGAUAAGUACUUGUUAGGCCUUAUAAGAAAAAAGUUAUUAACUUAAGGAAUUAUAACAAAGAAGUAACACGUAAUAAAUUUAUUUUAUUUAGUGUGUAUCAAUCGAGUUUCUGACCUAUCAGCUUUUGAUGUUAGGGUAUUGGCCUAACAUGGCUAUGACGGGUAACGGGGAAUUAGAGUUCGAUUCCGGAGAGGGAGCCUGAGAAAUAGCUACCACAUCUAAGGAAGGCAGCAGGCGCGUAAAUUACCCAAUUCUAAAGAAGAGAGGUAGUGACAAGAAAUAACAAUGCAAGGCCAAUUUUUGGUUUUGUAAUUGGAAUGGUGGGAAUUUAAAACCUUCCCAGAGUAACAAUUGGAGGGCAAGUCUGGUGCCAGCAGCCGCGGUAAUUCCAGCUCCAAUAGCGUAUAUUAAAAUUGUUGCAGUUAAAACGCUCGUAGUUGAAUUUCAAAGAAUCGAUAUUUUAUUGUAACUAUAUUAGGGGAACUAUUUUAGCUUCGCGCUUUAAUACGCUUCCUCUAUUAUUAUGUUCUUUAAAUAACAAAGAUUCUUUUUAAAAUCCCCACUUUGCUUUUCUGCUUUUUGGGGAUUUUGUUACUUUGAGUAAAUUAGAGUGUUCAAAGCAAACAGUUAAAGCAUUUUACUGUGUUUGAAUACUAUAGCAUGGAAUAACAAAAUUGAACAGGCUGAAAUUUUUUGUUCUUUUUUCUUAUUUUGGCUUAGUUACGAUUAAUAGGAGUAGCUUGGGGACAUUCGUAUUCAGAUGUCAGAGGUGAAAUUCUUAGAUUUUCUGGAGACGAACAACUGCGAAAGCAUUUGUCUAAAAUACUUCCAUUAAUCAAGAACGAAAGUUAAGGGAGUGAAGACGAUCAGAUACCGUCGUAAUCUUAACCAUAAACUAUGCCGACUAGGUGUUGGAUGAAAGUGUUAAAAAUAAAAGUCAUCUUUCGAGGUGACUUUUAGAUUGCUUCCUUCAGUACCUUAUGAGAAAUCAAAGUCUUUGGGUUCUGGGGCGAGUAUUCGCGCAAGCGAGAAAGUUAAAAGAAUUGACGGAAGGGCACCACCAGGCGUGGAGCUUGUGGCUUAAUUUGACUCAACACGGGAAAUUGCUUCCUUCAGUACCUUAUGAGAAAUCAAAGUCUUUGGGUUCUGGGGCGAGUAUUCGCGCAAGCGAGAAAGUUAAAAGAAUUGACGGAAGGGCACCACCAGGCGUGGAGCUUGCGGCUUAAUUUGACUCAACACGGGGAAACUCACUAGUUUAAGACAAGAGUAGGAUUGACAGAUUAAUAGCUCUUUCUUGAUUUCUUGGAUGGUGAUGCAUGGCCGUUUUUAGUUCGUGAAUAUGAUUUGUCUGGUUAAUUCCGAUAACGAACGAGAUCUUAACCUGCUAAUUAGCGGUAAGUACGCUAUAUUCUUAAUUGAAAUUGAAUAUAGGUAAUUAUACAUUUAUUCAGUGAUCAAAUUAGGAUAUUUUUAUUAAAAUAUCCUUUUCCCUGUUCUACUAAUAAUUUGUUUUUUACUCUAUUUCUCUCUUCUUUUAAGAAUGUACUUGCUUGAUUGUAAAGCUUCUUAGAGGAACAUUGUGUGUCUAACACAAGGAAGUUUAAGGCAACAACAGGUCUGUGAUGUCCUUAGAUGAACUAGGCUGCACGCGUGCUACACUGAUAUAUAUAACGAGUUAUUAAAAAUAUGCAUUUAUUUGUAUCUUUGAUGCUUAUAUUUUGCAUACUUUUCCUCCGCCGAAAGGCGUAGGUAAUCUUUAUCAAUAUAUAUCGUGAUGGGGAUAGAUUAUUGCAAUUAUUAAUCUUGAACGAGGAAUGCCUAGUAAGCAUGAUUCAUUAGAUUGUGCUGACUACGUCCCUGCCCUUUGUACACACCGCCCGUCGCUCCUACCGAUUGAAAGAUAUGAUGAAUUGUUUGGACAAGAAAAAUGGAAUUAUAUUCUUUUUUUUCUGGAAAAACCGUAAAUCCUAUCUUUUAAAGGAAGGAGAAGUCGUAACAAGGUUUCCGUAGGUGAACCUGCGGAAG